rnacentral:rRNA from 1 species
AACGAACGCUGGCGGCGUGCCUAACACAUGCAAGUCGCGCGGGAAAGUGGGGGCAACUCCAUAAGUACAGCGGCGCACGGGUGAGUAACACGUAGGUAACCUACCUCCGAGACUGGGAUAACCUGUCGAAAGAUGGGCUAAUACUGGAUGACACCACCGGGGUUGCGGCUCUGGUGGUCAAAGGUGGCCUCUGCUUGCAAGCUACUACUCGAAGAUGGGCCUGCGCACCAUUAGCUUGUUGGCGGGUAAUGGCCACCAAGGCAAAGAUGGUUAGCUGGUCUGAGAGGAUGGCCAGCCACACUGGGACUGAGACACGGCCCAGACUCCUACGGGAGGCAGCAGUGGGGAAUAUUGCGCAAUGGGCGAAAGCCUGACGCAGCGACGCCGCG